rnacentral:rRNA from 1 species
UUCGGGACGCUGGCGAGUGGCGAACGGGUGCGUAACGCGUGGAAACCUGCCCCGAGGUGUGGGACAACAGUUGGAAACGACUGCUAAUACCGCAUAAGCCUUACGAGGGAAAGGCGCAAGUCGCCUUGGGAGGGGUCCGCGUCGGAUUAGCUAGUUGGUGGGGUAAAGGCCUACCAAGGCGAUGAUCCGUAGCUGGUCUGAGAGGAUGAUCAGCCACACUGGGACUGAGACACGGCCCAGACUCCUACGGGAGGCAGCAGUGGGGAAUACUGCGCAAUGGGAGAAAUCCUGACGCAGCGAUACCGCGUGGGUGAAGAAGGUCUUCGGAUUGUAAAGCCCUUUCAGCAGGAAAGAUGAUGACGGUACCUGCAGAAGAAGCCCCGGCUAACUCCGUGCCAGCAGCCGCGGUAAUACGGAGGGGGCGAGCGUUGUUCGGAAUGACUGGGCGUAAAGGGCGCGUAGGCUGCUCUGCAAG